GCAUGAGAUAGCUCAGUUGGCAGAGCAUGAGGCUCUUUUAAUCUCAGGACCGUGGGUUCAAGCCCCACUUAGGGCA